rfam:Schizophyllum commune H4-8 unplaced genomic scaffold SCHCOscaffold_9, whole genome shotgun sequence.
GGCGAGAUGGCCGAGCGGUCUAAGGCGCUAGAAUCAGGACCUGGUGGGCCUUGGCACCAUUGCGUACACAAUGGCGCCAGGACCCACCUCUCCAUCUAGUCUUUCGGGGCGCGAGUUCGAAUCUCGCUCUCGUCA